rnacentral:rRNA from 1 species
UGUGAACGUUACCAAACUGUUGCCUCGGCGGGAUCUCUGCCCCGGGUGCGUCGCAGCCCCGGACCAAGGCGCCCGCCGGAGGACCAACCAAAACUCUUUUUGUAUACCCCCUCGCGGGUUUUUUUAUAAUCUGAGCCUUCUCGGCGCCUCUCGUAGGCGUUUCGAAAAUGAAUCAAAACUUUCAACAACGGAUCUCUUGGUUCUGGCAUCGAUGAAGAACGCAGCGAAAUGCGAUAAGUAAUGUGAAUUGCAGAAUUCAGUGAAUCAUCGAAUCUUUGAACGCACAUUGCGCCCGCCAGUAUUCUGGCGGGCAUGCCUGUCCGAGCGUCAUUUCAACCCUCGAACCCCUCCGGGGGGUCGGCGUUGGGGAUCGGCCCUCCCUUAGCGGGCGGCCGUCUCCGAAAUACAGUGGCGGUCUCGCCGCAGCCUCUCCUGCGCAGUAGUUUGCACACUCGCAUCGGGAGCGCGGCGCGUCCACAGCCGUUAAACACCCAACUUCUGAAAUGUUGACCUCGGAUCAGGUAGGAAUACCCGCUGAACU